ensembl:lncRNA
GGGAGCAUUUGGUUAGGUUCGAUCCAGUGACUUCCUUUAUUCUAAAAUUUGUCACAGAAUGGGUGAGAACCUAAAUCCUGGGGUGAUUUUUUUUUUUUUUUUAAAACUGUCUUCCCAAAAUCCCUUCCCAAGCUUUUGAUUGCGUCUGUUGUCACUCUUGAAUUAGGAGCAAGUCUCGGGUGAAACUUGUCCCACACAGUGCUGCAGCAACAAGCUUAUUGCUUCCUUUCAACCAUCUGACUUGCGCAUGCUCUGCUCUGUACAGUCUAUCAGGAAGGAUCCCCUUUCUUUGCAGGCACAGCACAAAGUGAAGGUCAAUCAGCGCAUAAUUGUAGGAACAUUGCUGUGUUGAAAGCAGACUUCAUUACCCUCCGUAAGUGCUACCUGAUAUUGACUGAGACAUCAUAAGGAGAACAAAAGCUUAAUGCAUCCUGCAUAUUUUGCAAUGCAAUGUAUUGUCAUUACUGUGGAGGAUGUAUUAGAACUUCGGUUGGAAACGAAGCACCUUUCUAACAGCAUUUUGCACAGGAAUGUUGUAAUGGGUUUUGCAGACACAAAACAUACUGUCCAAAUCAUCAGAACCCACAUUUCCUAUGUUUUCUAUGAUCAGCUGCUAAGUCACGAUUCAGGCACACUGCAGUUCAAGCCACCUGCAAAUGUGAACCUCGUGUGUGUGUGUGUGUGUGUGUGUGUGUGUGUAAGUGUGAGCAAGAGACCUACAGAGACUGGACAGGGAAAUGAAAUGCCCAAAGGGAACCCUAAAUAGACCUCAUCCACUUGUACAAUUGGCAUCUCCAGUGUUAAGAUGAACUUGGGUGCCAAAAUACUUAACUGUCACUUAAACAGAAUAAAGUCCCACAUAACAGGAAAACCUACGUUGGAAGUAAGACCCAGUUCACACUGAGCUCCACGGGAAAGAGAAGGAAUUGAAUGUGCUCCUCCCUCUUAAGCAUAUCCAAGAGACAGCCAGUCCCAGUCAUCAAUCCUCCCCUGCAGCACAGCAGCAGCUGAAACCCUCUGAGGAAUGGCAUGUCACAAGCCCAGCUCAGGGCUCCUUGUCGAGCUACACUCAGCAAAUUGAAGAUCAUGCUCCCUAUUAAGCUCUUGGCUGGUGCAUCACGGUAGACUCAUUUUCAAGAGCAGCUUACAUCCCCCACCCCACUUCGUCUUGUGAAUGAUAAUCACUACUCCAGCCCACAGGAGCUGCAGCAGAAAAAAUUAGCUCAGGGUAAGUCUUGAUGGUAUUAUUAAUGUGAAAACAGAUGCUCUUGUAGGGCUCAAGAAAAGCUGUGGGGAAACAAUUGAUGAGAGAGACAAAAGACCAAUGAGUCAGUCCUGACUCUUGAAGCCAAGGGAUAACGCCAGUGGGCUUCCAUGAUUGGCCAAACAUUUAUUGAGGGUCCACCAUGUGUGAUGUACUGUGUUG